rnacentral:rRNA from 1 species
CAGCAGCCACGGGAAUACGGAGGGCGCGAGCGUUACCCGGAUUUACUGGGCGUAAAGGGCGUGUAGGCGGCCUGGGGCGUCCCAUGUGAAAGGCCACGGCUCAACCGUGGAGGAGCGUGGGAUACGCUCAGGCUAGAGGGUGGGAGAGGGUGGUGGAAUUCCCGGAGUAGCGGUGAAAUGCGCAGAUACCGGGAGGAACGCCGAUGGCGAAGGCAGCCACCUGGUCCACUUCUGACGCUGAGGCGCGAAAGCGUGGGGAGCGAACCGGAUUAGAUACCCCUGUAGUCCCUGUCUCUUAUAC